rnacentral:lncRNA from 1 species
CAAUGGACAAAAUACACAAAAAUAUACCUAGACCUAGACUUUACCUAUAAAUAAUACUUAAAAAAAUUUGAAAAUGGGAGAACAAAAAUAACGCAAAAAAUCUGCUGAGCCGCAAUUCACACCCAACGGACCCCCCAACUUCGUCAGGGUUUUAUUGUUUGAAGAGGUAAUUCACACCACCAACCCCACACCUCAUCGGCUAUCCAAACUCAGGAAUAAAAAAUAACGCCUGGGACUCUAAUUGAAGAGGUAGCGCCGAACAAUGCAAAACACCCAUUCCCAGCGUUUUGCUUCGUCCUCAGCCGGACCUUCCAGCUUGAUUUUUCCCAAAUGACCCCUCUGAUUUUCGUCCUCAUCACCCCCUUCGUUUCUCCGCACACCCAUUAAAACCAGACUUGACGCUUAAGAUGCCUUCCAACGCCGAUUAAAGUUCCAUCUGAUUCGAGGUUGCGAUUCCUGUCCGAGUUGAAAUUUUGUUGUUUGGCACUCCAUUAUGGCCGUGUAAUUGCUGAAAAUUUUAGUUGAAUGAAACCUUAAUUUCAGAUUCUCUGAAUUUUCGAUUUGUUUGCUCGGCCAGUCAAUUGUUAGUUUUGGUUCGUCUAUGUUUCGUCGCCAUUAAUAUCGAUUAGCGUCGCUUGAAGUGACGACUGAAUAGUUAGCGUCUUUUCCGAUACUGCUUCUUCUUUGCCGGUCAAAAUUCCAGCAAGCUCGAACUCUAAGCAUUUCAGGUCCUUCUUAUCUCUCUCGUAUUUCAAUAUAAUCACUGGUACUCCUUCCCUUUUCUUCGCUGCCCGCAUUUCUGCUAUAUUGUUAUUCUUGUUUGGUUAAUCUCUUUGUUGUUUUGAGAAGUAUAACUGCUAAUGGCUAUUUUUGGAUGAAUAUUGAAUCCAAUUUGGUAGUUAAUUUUCGGCUAAGGUACAGAUUUGUGGGGGUUUAGAGCAGCAAAGUUUCAGUUAUGCACAUAUGAUGGUUGUGAAAAUGAUUGACUGAAUUCAAUCAACAUGGAUGCUUUGAGUUUGAUUUUUGCAUAAUGUGUAAUGUUUUGAAGCUUAAUUCUUGUUGAUUUCUCCCUGUUAAGGUGCUAUAUUUGAGGUCGAACUUUGAGUUUGGGUUGAUCGUUGUUUAAUCUAUGCUAAAUUGUGUGCAAAGUUGAGCAUUUGAGUCAGAUUGAAUGAGCUAAUUGUGUGCUUCAUUUGUCGGAAGAAGAUUAAAACCUAUAACCAUUGCUUUCUGUUUGUUUGAUUUGCCUUCAUGUUGUGGUUAUUAGUUGGAAAUAGUGGAGCAUUUUUUAAUGUUGUCAACAUUUAGUGUGGAUCUGGAGUUCGAUUGGUAUUGUUUUGAGAAAUUGAUUCGUUGGGAUCUAGCUAAGGUAGUCAUGGCCUGACUUUAGCUACACAAAUCAUGUCUUUCCACAUUGUUCUCUACAAAGACCUUUGUAGUGGACCUCACAGUAGCGUAGGCUUAAUCAUGAACACCGUAGUUUUUUAAAUUGAGGUGCCCAGUACCAAACAAAAUGACAAUUGUGUGGUCCUCAUCUUAAUUCUACACUGAUCCUUAGAAUCUGAGGCGUGCCAUUUAGAAAAUUUCAUGACCCUCGCAAAGUGCAAACGCGUAGUUUCUUUAGGCACGUGUUUGAUAAUUUUACUUUCUUAAAUACGAGUGCACAUUUAUGUAACCCAAAUCUAAAUCCCAACGAAGUUGAAAUGCGUCAAAAUCCAUGGGUGCAUUUAUGUGACGUGGUUCGAGACAUAUUUUAACGACGUUGUGAUUCUCUUUAUAAAAUGAUAAUAAAAGCUUUUUAAAGUUAAAAAGCACAUACGUUAAAACAUGUUCUAAAAUCGAAUAAAAAGCCAAAUAUGACAGUUGAGCGACUGUGCUAGAACCACGGAACCCGUAAAUGCCUAACAUAUUCUUGCGGGUUAAUAGAAUUCCUUACUCGAAUUUCUGGUUCGCAGACUGUUAAACAAAGUCAUUCUUUUCUCGAUUCGUAAUUCUAAACCGGUGACUUGGGACACCAUAAAUCUUCCAAAUGGCGACUCUGAAUCUCUUAAUAAAUGAAAUCCCGUUUCGAUUGUCAUUUAAUUGGAAAACCCCCUUAUACCUUUCAGGGGUGUAGUGAAAAAAGGAGGUGUGACAGCUUUGACGACUCUACUGGGAAACACAAACCCAGAAUCUCUAGUUCAGGGUUUAAGAAUUCGAGCUUAGAAUUGUUAUACUUGGCUUUAUAUGAUUUUCCUACAUAUUUCAUGCUAAAUGUACUAAAUGCUUUACCGCUUUGAUAUUAUCUGAAUUGUAUAUAUAAAAUUGUUACGAAACCCUUCUCUUCUUAUCUCUGAGGAUGUGCUCACUAGUUGAGACUCCGUAUUUUGUUAGUGUCAUACCUUAAAGUAAGAAAUAUGACGGACAAGUUACUACGCCGGAUGACCUUUUGGUUCCCUGUACGUAGCCCCCUCCUCGACUCGAGUUGUCCGCUCGAGUACACAAUCUAGAACAUAUACUCAGGUUUUGAACUUAGAAUAACUCGACCUCAUGACGGAUCCCUAGUAGGGGCGCUUGUUUGCAUCACGUGCAUUUGACUUAGGGGACUCAACACUUGGGUUGGGUCCGUCUAGGACAAGCAACCUGAAAUAAAAAGACUAAUUGAUGCAUCUUAUGUGCUACAUGUUGCAUUUAUUCAAGGGUAAAAUGGUCAUUUGAUGGACCAAUGAUAGUUGAGGGCAAAAAUGAAAAAAAAAGUAAAAAAAGAGAAAAAAAGGGAGAGAGUGAAGUGUGAAGAUAAAGCGAGUUGGACCCAAUUAUGUUGUGAAAAAAAGAGCUUGAAAAUUCAAUAAUUCAAAAAAAAGAUUUUCCAUUUUGUCAUCAUUUUCCGAAAAUCUGUAAAUAACAAAAAAAGAAAAAAGAAAAUCCAAAAAGAUUUUGCAUGUUUCAUCAUUUUUCAAGAAAAACAAAAAAUAUAUAUGUUUUCUUUCAAUUAGUUAUUUUUUUAAUUCUCGCCCGUAUCAAAUCGGUCCGAACUAUGCAUAUUUGAUUCUCCUCUUUCGGGGCGUGAUACGUAGGUAACUCACCAAGGUGUUCAAUUUUCCUAGUAAAUCUUAGGUUCUUGGCUUUGUGGGGUCUUAGCCAAAUUUUACACUUCUAGCCACCUUUUGGCCAAAUAAACCAUUUUGUAAAAAAUAGCCUCAACCAUGUCUUGUAUGUGUCUAGUAGGGAAUGUUAUUGUCUCACAUAGUGUUGGUUUAAGUUUUCUCAUGCAGGUAUAGAUUUACGGGACUUUGAGCAUUACAGACACCCCGUGACCAUCCAAUCAGGAUCACUCAGUCAGGAGUUGCUUAGGAGAUUUGUUUUGAGUCUAUUCUUCAUUUUAUGUGGUCUUUUACUUUAUAAUUUUGUACAACAAUGUCAAGUCUUUUGUUAUUUAUUUUCGGAUUUAUAUUUGAAAUUGUGUUGUAACUCAAAAAUCUAAAAAAAAAUAGAUGUUGCAGUUUAUAUUUUCGUUA